rfam:Myotis brandtii contig307485, whole genome shotgun sequence.
GCCUUGGUGGCUCAGUGGUUGAGUGUCAACCUAUGAACUAGGAGGUCAUGGUUCAAUUCCCGGUCAGGGCA